AAUCAACGCUGGCGGCGUGCCUCAGACAUGCAAGUCGAACGAGAAAGUCCCCUUCGGGGGAUGAGUAAAGUGGCGCACAGGUGAGUAACACGUAGGUAAUCUACCUUCGGGUGGGGAAUAACCCAGGGAAACUUGGGCUAACACCGCAUAAUGCAGCGGCACCACAUGGUGACAGUUGUUAAAGCGGGGGAUUUUAGGAC
rnacentral:rRNA from 1 species